rnacentral:lncRNA from 10 species
GGAGCCUGGAGGGGCACCGGCCACGGGCAGGGGAGACAGAGGCGGGCACAGCCUGGCGGGGUCCGGGCUGAGCCAGCGGGGAGGACGGGGCUGUGGGAGCCCAGCGGAGAGGGUGAGGAUCCGCGGGCAGGUGGGACAGGUGAGCUGGGAGGUGAGAGAUGGGCAGGGCUGCCUGAAAGGCAAGUUCAUCCCAGAGCAGCGAGCAGGGCGCAGCCAAAGGCCGUGGGGGAAACAGCGGCGAGAAAAAAACGGCCAAAAUUCUGCCCGCAGUGCGCCUGUAUCCUAGCGGGGCGGCCACAAAAAUAUUGUUGAGUAGCAAGAAGUGUUUCGAAAGUGUGCAGUGGGUAAAGUGUGAGAAAAUAAAGCAGAUUUAAUCAAGAGGAACGGAGUCCUCAGGGCUGGCUGGAGAGGAGCGUGGUUUCAAGAACGCGGUCAGGAAAGGACUCGCUGAGAAGAAAUUUGGCGCCCAAACGUUCCUGGCACCGCCCGCGGCUGCUGAUUGGCUCAAGCCCGUAGGAUUCCUCUGGGCCUGAAGGUGCGGGGAGGGACUUGCACUUUCAGCUCCUGAUUGGCUGUGCGUCAGCUCCCAGAGGCAAGUGUCCGUGGGGGAAAGCUCCAUCUGCCUCGCAGAUCUGCUGCGUAAUAGGCACCUGAAGCUGCUGAUUGGCUACUAAAGAGGCCUGUGCAGCCACUGAUUGGCUGUGGGGUAGACGCACAACGUGCGAGGCGCGCGGGCUGGGCCCAGGGCGACAGCGGAGCCUUCACACCGCUUUCUCCGCGCGCUGAUGGAGGAUUCCUGGCCUCACAGCAGUGCCUGGCCUGUGGGCGUCCCCGGCAGUCCUCGGCUGCGGGACCUGUAUCGGGACUGCGCAAAGUGGGCUUCCAGGAGAGCAGGGCGUCCCUCAGUCAGCUGACCCCUUGGAGCGUGGGGCAGCCCAGGCCCGUGAGGCCGCCAGUGUCACCCUCAGGCCCGCGAGGCCCCCGAGCCCCUUGUGGGGUCCAAGGCCCAUUCUGGAUCAGUCACGAGGCAAGACCGCGGACCCUCAGGAGAUCACCAGGAGCCCGCCGCGCAUUCCUCCGCCUCCACCACGCCAGUCACCUGCUCAGCCCGAGGGCAGCCAGCGGCCGUCGCCCCAGUGAGGCGGCCGGUGAGGAGCUGAGGCCGUGACCAGGGCAGCGCCCCGCGAGUCAGCGUCAGUCCCCGCGCCAGCCAGUUCCUCAGACAAUCAGCUCACCAUUCCCAUCGCGUAUGCUGGGAAAUCAUCAAUAUACCCGCUGUCAUGCUCUGCUUGCUGCCAGAAACAAAGGCUGGGAGCCAGCAACAGGAACCAGCCAGGGGAUGAGUUCAGCCCAGACGUGCUGCCUGGACCUGGAUUCCUGCCUCAGUGCAGGCCUUGACCUGAUUUCUUGCUUCAUUACCAUACUAAAAUCUCCACUCAGGGGCGAGAACUAUGCCUUGCUAGGCACAGAAGGUGCCAAGUACAAAAGAAAACACAAGAGUGUGCACACUUCAGCCCCUCCUGAAGGAACCCACCUUUUUCCAGAUCUGCCCGCCUCAGUCUCCAACUACCUGCCCUAAGGGCCCUUAAGAUCCCCUUUUACCAACCCCUGGGAGAAGGUGCUUUGCACAUGAACUCCCUUUCUCCAUUUCUUGAUCAAUGAAUAAAGUUUCUUCUCCGCUUUGCCGAUUCUGGUCUCAUUCUAUUGGCGUAAGUGGCAGGGGGCAGAGAAAGGACCCACUAGGGCCAACUCACCCCUCCAAGGGUGGGUAACAUUUGCAGCAAAACUCCUCAAGAGGUUGUUUGUCGUCACUCUUCCUACCUUCCUUUCUUCGGUUAUUUUCCAAACGAGCUUCCAAUCAAGUCCCCCACCCUUUCACACAUGUUCAUCAAAGCUGCCAUUGCCAGUUAUCUCAGACGUAAACAAAAUCAACUCAAUAUGGAUUAAAGAUGGAAAUGUAAGGCCUGAAACUGUAAAACUCCUUGAAGAAAACAGGAGAAAAAGCUUCUUGACAUUAUCUGGGCUCAGAUUUUUUUAGAUACUGUAAAC